rnacentral:rRNA from 1 species
UACGAAGGGGGCUAGCGUUGUUCGGAAUUACUGGGCGUAAAGCGCGCGCAGGCGGCCCUUUAAGUCUACCCGUGAAAUGCCGGAGCUCAACUCCGUGCACGCCGGGGGAUACUGGGGGGCUGGAGACAUGUAGAGGCAAGCGGAAUUCCGGGUGUAGCGGUGGAAUGCGUAGAUAUCCGGAAGAACACCUGAGGCGAAGGCGGCUUGCUGGGCAUGAUCUGACGCUGAGGCGCGAAAGCGUGGGGAGCAAACAGG